rnacentral:ncRNA from 1 species
AACGAUACUGUUUCAGUUAACUGUGAAUAGCUUGCUUGCACCGUAUUGUUCUUGUUUUUCGGUUAGUUAAACAUCGUACUUCAUAUUUGAACGUUCUGCCGGAAUGCAUUAUCAAUAGAGGUAAAGUCGCAACCCCAAAUCGUAAAGGAAACCGUAGCACGUCGUAUGCAAGAACGUGCCACG